rnacentral:tRNA from 1 species
GAGGGGGUGCCGGAGUGGCCAAACGGGUUCGCCUCAAGAGCGAAUGGCUUAGUGCCUACUAGGGUUCAAAUCCCUACCCCCUCA